rnacentral:misc_RNA from 1 species
AAGUCGUAACAAGGUUUCCGUAGGUGAACCUGCGGAAGGAUCAUUAACACUUUGUUAUACCCAAUAUCAACCAAAUGUGAACUGAUCGUCCCUAUUGCACGGGGAGAGAGGAGUCGACUUCGGUCAACUUUCCUCAAAGCGUGCGAUAGACAAUACCCUCCUAGUAGUCAUCACAACUGGCACUCCGGUGCUUGUUGCCCUGAUGAUGAACGCACUCAUCAUUUUCACCCUACUUUUUCAACUGACUAAUCUUCAUAAACUUAUACAACUGCUUCACGGCGGUUUGUAAGCUUUACGAAAUAUUGUACAACUCUUAACCAGUGGAUACCUUGGGUCAU